GUGCUCGCUUCAGCAGUACAUAAACUAAAAUUGGGAUGAUACAGAGAAGAUUAGCAUGGCCCCUGUGCAAGGAUGACACGCAAAUUCAUGAAGCAUUGAAUAAAAAA
rnacentral:snRNA from 1 species